rnacentral:rRNA from 1 species
AGAGUGAACGCUAGCGGUGCGCCUAACACAUGCAAGUCGCGCGCCCCGCAAGGGGAGCGGCAGACGGCUGCGUAACACGUUGGAACCUUCCUCGAACUCAGGGAUAACUCCGCGAAAGCGGGGCUAAUACCGGAUGGUCUCGCAAGAGUAAAGCUACGGCGGUUCGAGAGGGGCCUGCGGCCUAUCAGCUAGUUGGUGAGGUAACGGCUUACCAAGGCAAUGACGGGUAGCUGGUCUGAGAGGACGACCAGCCAGAAUGGGACUGAGACACGGCCCAUACUCCUACGGGAGCAGCAGUGAGGAAUCUUCCGCAAUGGGCGAAAGCCUAGACGGAGCGACACCGCGUGGUGGAUGAAGGCAGUUUCUGUCGUAAACACCUGUUCUGGAGGGACGUAAAUUUUGACGGUUACCUCGAGGAG